GUGAAGCCCAGCUUGCUGGGUGGAUCAGUGGCGAACGGGUGAGUAACACGUGAGCAAUCUGCCCCUGACUCUGGGAUAAGCGCUGGAAACGGCGUCUAAUACUGGAUACGAACCGUGGAGGCAUCUUCAACGGUUGGAAAGAUUUUUUGGUCAGGGAUGAGCUCGCGGCCUAUCAGCUUGUUGGUGAGGUAAUGGCUCACCAAGGCGUCGACGGGUAGCCGGCCUGAGAGGGUGACCGGCCACACUGGGACUGAGACACGGCCCAGACUCCUACGGGAGGCAGCAGUGGGGAAUAUUGCACAAUGGGCGCAAGCCUGAUGCAGCAACGCCGCGUGAGGGAUGACGGCCUUCGGGUUGUAAACCUCUUUUAGCAGGGAAGAAGCGAAAGUGACGGUACCUGCAGAAAAAGCGCCGGCUAACUACGUGCCAGCAGCCGCGGUAAUACGUAGGGCGCAAGCGUUAUCCGGAAUUAUUGGGCGUAAAGAGCUCGUAGGCGGUUUGUCGCGUCUGCUGUGAAAUCCCGAGGCUCAACUUCGGGUCUGCAGUGGGUACGGGCAGACUAGAGUGCGGUAGGGGAGAUUGGAAUUCCUGGUGUAGCGGUGGAAUGCGCAGAUAUCAGGAGGAACACCGAUGGCGAAGGCAGAUCUCUGGGCCGUAACUGACGCUGAGGAGCGAAAGGGUGGGGAGCAAACAGGCUUAGAUACCCUGGUAGUCCACCCCGUAAACGUUGGGAACUAGUUGUGGGGUCC
rnacentral:rRNA from 1 species